rnacentral:rRNA from 1 species
UACGUAGGGUGCAGGCGUUAAUCGGAAUUACUGGGCGUAAAGCGUGCGCAGGCGGUCUUUUAAGUCAGAUGUGAAAUCCCCGGGCUUAACCUGGGAACUGCGUUUGAAACUGGAAGGCUAGAGUGUGGCAGAGGGGGGUGGAAUUCCACGUGUAGCAGUGAAAUGCGUAGAGAUGUGGAGGAACACCGAUGGCGAAGGCAGCCCCCUGGGCUAACACUGACGCUCAUGCGCGAAAGCGUGGGGAGCAAACAGG